CCUACGGGACGCAGCAGUGAGGAAUAUUGGUCAAUGGGCGCGAGCCUGAACCAGCCAAGUCGCGUGAGGGAAGACGGUCCUAUGGAUUGUAAACCUCUUUUGUCGGGGAGCAAAAGACGCCACGCGUGGCGUUCCGAGAGUACCCGAAGAAAAAGCAUCGGCUAACUCCGUGCCAGCAGCCGCGGUAAUACGUAGGGGGCAAGCGUUAUCCGGAUUUACUGGGUGUAAAGGGAGCGUAGACGAUGCGCCAAGUCUGGAGUGAAAUGCCGCAGCUUAACUGCGGAACUGCUUUGGAAACUGGCGAA
rnacentral:rRNA from 1 species